ACGAACGCUGGCGGCGUGCCUAAUACAUGCAAGUAGAACGCUGAAGAGAGGAGCUUGCUCUUCUUGGAUGAGUUGCGAACGGGUGAGUAACGCGUAGGUAACCUGCCUUGUAGCGGGGGAUAACUAUUGGAAACGAUAGCUAAUACCGCAUAACAAUGGAUGACACAUGUCAUUUAUUUGAAAGGGGCAAUUGUUCCACUACAAGAUGGACCUGCGUUGUAUUAGCUAGUAGGUGAGGUAAUGGCUCACCUAGGCGACGAUACAUAGCCGACCUGAGAGGGUGAUCGGCCACACUGGGACUGAGACACGGCCCAGACUCCUACGGGAGGCAGCAGUAGGGAAUCUUCGGCAAUGGGGGCAACCCUGACCGAGCAACGCCGCGUGAGUGAAGAAGGUUUUCGGAUCGUAAAGCUCUGUUGUAAGUCAAGAACGGGUGUGAGAGUGGAAAGUUCACACUGUGACGGUAGCUUACCAGAAAGGGACGGCUAACUACGU
rnacentral:rRNA from 1 species